CGUCGUAUAAGAAAUGCUCCAAGCUAAGCUCUCAAUCAACUACACUCGUCAGUCGCCACCGAUAUGAAUUUCUUGUGCUUUUUCCCCUUCACAAAGAAGCCGGAUUCGAGCAAGGGGGCGGAGGCAUCGCCAUCGAUGGAAGAGGGGGAGGCCUGCGACGACUGCGAGUGCGAGAUCGCGCGGUUGCCGGAGGAGCUCCUCUCCGCCGCGAUCUCCCUCACCGCGCCGCGGGACGCCUUCCGCGCCGCCGCCGUCUCCCGGGCCUUCCGCGCCGCCGCCGACUCCGACGCCGUCUGGGCUAGCUUCCUGCCGCGUGAUCUCCCCGAUCUCGCCGACGGCGAGCUCUCCCCCGCGCCGCCUUCCAAGAAGGACCUCUUCCUCCGCCUCUCCGCCGGCCACUACCACCUCCUGCCAGACAGGCUCAAGGGCAUGUGAUUGGACAGGGAGACCGGGGCCAAGUGCUAUGUGCUCUCGGCUAGAGCGCUGGUCAUUAUCUGGACCUGUACACCAAGAUACUGGCGCUGGAUCCCUCUCACCGACUCCAGAUUCACAGAAGCUGCUGAGCUCUUGAGUGUAUGCUGGUUGGAAAUCCUUGGCAAUAUAGACAGCAGGAUGCUCUCCCCGAACUCAACUUAUGCUGCAGUUUUGGUGUUCAAGAUAGCUGAGGAGUUCUACCAGCUGGAUACUAUAGAUGCAACAGUCAACCUCGGAGGCUCGAAAUCAAGUCGCGAGGUUGCUCUCACUCGAUCCCGUCGUCGUCCUGAAGAAGAGAUCAGUGCAGUACUGUUCCCUCGGACAAGAGCUGACGGCUGGAUGGAGGUGGAGCUAGGCGAGUUCUUCAACGAGGAAGGUGAAGAUGGAAACGUGAACAUCAGAAUCUUUGGUAAAGGACCCAAUUGGAAGAAAGGUCUUAUUGUGCUGGGCAUUGAGAUUAGAAUUAAGAAAUCUGGCAGAUGAUCGAGCUUCUAGGAUCAAAGAUGCGUCUUGGGAGUACUGAAAUGUAUAAGAUUUCCGAUGCCUGAAGCUUUGGUGUUUUAGUGGCAUUUGCUUUUGCUGCUGCUAGUGAUGGGCAAAACUAGAGGGUGUUUCCUCUUCUUGUGGGUAAUCUGACGGACCUUUUUCUCAAUUGCUGGGGACAAACUGAACUUCUGUAGCCGACAUCUUGGUUCAGUGCUGGACGAUUGUCUACAUCUGGUUUGGAAGAUGCAACUAGAGACAGCUAUAUAUUGCCAUUUUAAAUGUUGAGUAAAUUGCAUUAACGGUCUCUACACUUAUUAUGCUA